GCUUGCUUCAGCAGUGCAUAUAUUAAAAUUGAAAUAAUACAGAGAUUAGCAUGGCCCCUGUGCAACAAUGACAUGCAAAUUUGUGAAGUGUUCCAUAUUUUU